rnacentral:rRNA from 1 species
GACGAACGCUGGCGGCGUGCCUAAUACAUGCAAGUUGAGCGCUGAAGGUUGGUACUUGUACCGACUGGAUGAGCAGCGAACGGGUGAGUAACGCGUGGGGAAUCUGCCUUUGAGCGGGGGACAACAUUUGGAAACGAAUGCUAAUACCGCAUAAAAACUUUAAACACAAGUUUUAAGUUUGAAAGAUGCAAUUGCAUCACUCAAAGAUGAUCCCGCGUUGUAUUAGCUAGUUGGUGAGGUAAAGGCUCACCAAGGCGAUGAUACAUAGCCGACCUGAGAGGGUGAUCGGCCACAUUGGGACUGAGACACGGCCCAAACUCCUACGGGAAGCAGCAGUAGGGAAUCUUCGGCAAUGGACGAAAGUCUGACCGAGCAACGCCGCGUGAGUGAAGAAGGUUGUCGGAUCGUAAAACUCUGUUGGUAGAGAAGAACGUUGGUGAGAGUGGAAAGCUCAUCAAGUGACGGUAACUACCCAGAAAGGGACGGCUAACUACGUG